ACGCCUACCCCCUUUUCUUACAGUCUCUCCCAAUUCCUUUAGGUCUCCUCCAUUCCCUUUAAGGUUUCCGCAAUUUCCUUUAAGUUUUCCGUCAAUUCCUUUAAGUUUCCGUCAAUUCCUUUAAGUUUCCGUCAAUUUCCUUUAAAGUUUCUCCUACGUGAGGCAGCGGUGGGGAAUCUUGCACAAUCGGCGAAAGCGUGAGGCAGCCAUGCAGCGUGUGUGAAAAAGGCUAUCGGGGUGUGACACACCUUCAGUCAGGAGGAAAGGGGGGGAGUGGACCAAAAAAAUUAAAAAGACGUUACUGCCAGAAGGAGGACGGGAAAACUACGCGCCAGCAGCCGCGGUAAUACGGAGGGUGCGGGAGUUAAUCGGAAGAACUGGGCGUUAAGGGUACGCAGGGGGUUUAUUAAGCGCGUCUUUAUAUUUCGGAAAAAAGCCUGGGAACUACAUUUCCAACUGUCACGGUAGAAUUCCAUCGAGGGCGGUGGGAUUCCGGGUGUAACCGAUGAGACUCCUUUUUAAGAGAGAGAGAUUCCGACUGCGACGGUAAGUACGAGUCUCAACCUUAAAGUUCCAGUCUCAAACUAACCGCCUUUUCUCAAACUAUAGUCAUGACCAACCUCAAACCCCUUGUCUCAAACUAAAAGGAAAGACGGAAACAAAAGGAAUAACGAAAAUAAAGAAUGACGAAACAUGAGUAAACAAUUAGGGC
rnacentral:rRNA from 1 species